rnacentral:lncRNA from 1 species
CAGAGAGGGGAGGUGGGCGUGCAUUAGUAAGAGAGAGGGAGGCAAUGAUGCAUAGGAAAAAAAUGAGGGAGAGAGAAUUGAUGAAUUAAUUGGAGAUAGAGAAAUGAGGAUUGUAGAUAGCAACGGAUUGUUUGGAUACAUUAACUGGAAGUCUGGUGAAGGAACGGGAAAGGGUCAUGAUGAAUUAAUCGGAGAUAGAGAUAUGAGAAUUGUAGAUGACAGUGGGACCAUUUAGAUGCAUUAAUUAGAAGUUUGGUAGUACUAUAAAUAAAUUUUAACUUAUUCGUGUUGCGGUACUUAAUUUAUUAUUAUUAUAUUAUCUAUUAAACAUAAUGAAUUCACAAUGUUUCUUGCCGCAUGGCAAGAAACCCUUCAUUCUUAGGUUAAUAGAUAAUAUCUAUCUCUUAUAUGAAUCCUCAAUAUAAAAUUUACGUUUCUUCUCAACUUCUAAAUGCGUAACCCUUCACCUCUCCAUAUUUACUUACAUGCAUUAUAUUUCACCAAUUAGUGAGCUUUGUAACUCCAAUCCACUCCCCUCCACUAUUAAUCCUCACUUCUAAAUGCUAUGCUAAACCCUUCAUCUCUCCACAUUUAAUUGCAUGGAUCAUAUUCUAUCAAUUAGUGAGCUUUGUAAUUCUAAUCCACUCCCCUCCACCAUUAAUCUCCACUUCUAAAUGCUCAACCCUUCACCUCUCCACAUUUAAUUACAUGCAUUAUAUUUCAUCAAUUAGUAAGCUUUGUAACACCAAUCUACUCCCCUCCACCAUUAAUCCCCUCACCCUUUCUUUCUUGCAUGACAUGUUAUUUUUCAUGCAAAAAGAAACAUUAUCAUCUAAUCUCUCACCCCACACUCAUCUCCUUCUCUCUAUCUCAUUGUGUUACCAAAGAUUAUGAGGAUGAUAAAGAAGAAGAACAUGCGAAGAACGUUGUCUCCUUCAAAAAAUAUCGUCCUGUAAAGUCCAGCCGCGGCCCAUAUAAGUGCUUUCUGGGCUGGUCUGCACCGGAGCCGUCGCUCGCCGUGAACCGU